UUUAACCAGCGCCGUUGAAAAAGCUUAUUAGGAGUUGGCUGUUCACUUUCUCUGGACAAAGCACCACGUCAUGACAGCAACAACUUCUGACCAAUGUCCAAAGUGUUUUCUAUAGCCCACAUGAUGAGAAGAAGAUAUGAUCUCUGCCUCCAGUGAUGUCAAUGCAAAGACUGUUCCAAACACGCACUCCUCACCUGUGUUCCUCUGUGCCCACACUGAGAACCACUUCAUACGGCAAUCGCAUGUCCAUGGGUUGCCAUGGAGGAAGACGUUCUCUAACCAGCUGCAGCCUGAGAAAAUAUCUGCAGGCAGAGUGGUGAGGAGGUUGUCUGACAGGUGGAUAUUUCUUACUGAAGACACCUUGAACACCUGGCUGUGUCUCAGUGUGAUGAAUGUGUCUGGGUGCAGCUGCUGGAGGUGGUUACCCUCCAGAUGGACCAACUGUAGGUUGGUUAGGCCAUAGAAAGCCUCUGGGCUGAUAAACUCAAUGUGAUUACGGUCCAUGUGGAGUCUCAGCAGACUGUCGAGGCCUUUGAAUGUCUCUUUGUUGAUUUCCUUUACUUUAUUAAAGGACAUCUUCAGGACCUAUAAGAAUUCAAAAGUUGGAGAUGAUGUCAAAAGAAUGUCUUGUAUGACUUAGU